CGGACCUGGCGAAGUCUCGGUUGAACUUCGCCGGUUUAGUUGUAUUCUCAUGCUUCAUACAUUCAGGUUCGCCCU
rnacentral:scRNA from 1 species